rnacentral:rRNA from 1 species
UACGUAGGGUGCGAGCGUUGUCCGGAAUUAUUGGGCGUAAAGAGCUUGUAGGCGGUCUGUCGCGUCUGCUGUGAAAAUCCGGGGCUCAACCCCGGACUUGCAGUGGGUACGGGCGGGCUGGAGUUCGGUAGGGGAGACUGGAAUUCCUGGUGUAGCGGUGAAAUGCGCAGAUAUCAGGAGGAACACCGGUGGCGAAGGCGGGUCUCUGGGCCGAUACUGACGCUGAGGAGCGAAAGCGUGGGGAGCGAACAGG